CGAACGAUUAAGCCGGCUUCGGCCGGGAAUAGAGUGGCGAACGGGUGAGUAACACGUGACCAACCUGCCCCUUGCUCCGGGACAACCGCUGGAAACGGCGGCUAAUACCGGAUACUCCGCGGGCCCCGCAUGGGGCCGGCGGGAAAGCCCCGACGGCAAGGGAUGGGGUCGCGGCCCAUUAGGUAGUAAGCGGGGUAACGGCCCACCUAGCCCGCGAUGGGUAGCCGGCCUGAGAGGGCGAUCGGCCACAUUGGGACUGAGAUACGGCCCAGACUCCUACGGAAGGCAGCAG
rnacentral:rRNA from 1 species